GAUGAACGCUGGCGGCGUGCUUAACACAUGCAAGUCGAACGAUGAAGCUCAGCUUGCUGGGUGGAUUAGUGGCGAACGGGUGAGUAACACGUGAGUAACCUGCCCUUAACUCUGGGAUAAGCCUGGGAAACUAGGUCUAAUACCGGAUAGGAGCGCCUACCGCAUGGUGGGUGUUGGAAAAAUUUAACGGUUUUGGAUGGACUCGCGGCCUAUCAGCUUGUUGGUGAGGUAAUGGCUCACCAAGGCGACGACGGGUAGCCGGCCUGAGAGGGUGACCGGCCACACUGGGACUGAGACACGGCCCAGACUCCUACGGGAGGCAGCAGUGGGGAAUAUUGCACAAUGGGCGAAAGCCUGAUGCAGCGACGCCGCGUGAGGGAUGACGGCCUUCGGGUUGUAAACCUCUUUCAGUAGGGAAGAAGCGAAAGUGACGGUACCUGCAGAAGAAGCACCGGCUAACUACGUG
rnacentral:rRNA from 1 species